ACGGAGGAUGCAAGCGUUAUCCGGAUUUAUUGGGUUUAAAGGGUGCGCAGGCGGACGAUUAAGUCAGUGGUGAAAUGUAACAGCUUAACUGUUGAACUGCCAUUGAUACUGAUUAUCUAGAGUACAGACGACGUUGGCGGAAUGCGACAUGUAGCGGGGAAACGCGUAGAGAUGUCGCAGAACACCGAGUGCGAAGGCAGCUAAAGAGGAUGUAACUGCCGCUCAUGCGAGUAAGCGAGGGGAUCAAACAG
rnacentral:rRNA from 1 species